UUCAGAUACCCUUCUACCUCUGUGUGUGCGAACAGACAUUUGCUCAGUGCUGAAAAUGACUGUAUCUCGUGUUUACUGCUUCGUUUCCUUAGGCAUUCUGGCCGUGAAUGAAGCAGUCGGUCACGGAGAUACCAGCCCUACCCUGAGUGCCUUGUGCUCACCAGAUGUGGGGCUGUACGGAGUCGCUGCAGAGUGUGCAGAGACAUACCAGCGAGAGUUGGCAGAAGUCGAAAGGAGAAAAGUGGCCACAGGAGGCAGUGGCAGUGAACGGGUGAAACACUGGGUGAGAGGAGGCUGUCAUCAUUAUCAUAACGUGAGGACCAGAGAGGGAGGAUGGGAUGAGCCGACAGAAUUUGUGCAGAAUGACACACAGCUGUCACGGGAGGAGAUGCAGAGCACUGUAUCUGGAGUCACGGCAGCAUACGAGCGAGAGCAGUUGUGGCUGGCCAAAGAGAACCUGCUGGUGAAGCUUCAGGCACGUUGUCGAGGCUGUCUUGUCUGUCAGGAAUUCAACUCCAGAAUGAGGUUUUUGAAGAAGCAAGUUCCAGCCAUCACUUGCAUGCAGUCCCAGUGGCGUGGCUAUAAACAGAGGAAGGCAUAUCAAAUCCGUUCGGAUUACUGACGAGCACACAAGGACCAAGAAGUGAAGAUUCAGUCACUGGCCAGGAUGUAUCAAGGCAGAAGGCGUUACAGAGAUCACCUGCAAUAUUUCAGAGACAACAUAAAUGACGUUAUAAAAACUCAAGCUUUUAUCCGAGGAAACAAAGCAGGAGAAGACUACAAAACCCUCAGUAAGUGUGGCCAAAAGAAUAAAGCUAAUAUGCUUUGAAUCUCUAUUUGCAGAAAAAUACUGUUAGUGAGAUCUGCAACAGGAAGAGAGCUAUGAAAAUCAGUUGGGGUGAAGUGGUGC